rnacentral:lncRNA from 1 species
AGGGUUUUGUAACCUCUCCCAUCAAUGAUGAAAACUCAAGGGUUAUGAAACUCUCAUGAGUUAUGGGGUGACUUUUGGGCUUAUGGCUCAUUACGAGGGUGAGUUAAUGUGUCUCAUAAUGAGAGAGUUAGUGUGUGUCUAGGUUCAUUGUAUUUAGGAGCUUAUAAGUAGUGGGGUUUUGGUUAACGUCAAAACACAUAAGAGAGAGUGUGUAUAUGAGUUGUAAUUCUCAUUUUCUAAGUAGUGUAGUACUUAGCUUUUUGAGAAAACCUCUGCCUCUUUUUCUUUGUCAUUUUCCUUUGCAUACUUAGUCAUAGGACGCGAAGGUCCGGGCAAGCAACAGGGACGAAGGCUUGCCCAUUUUCGAGUAAGAAGGCGGGCGCCGCAUGGACUUUGCGAACAGAACCGCUAAGGCCGUGACACG